rnacentral:rRNA from 1 species
GACGAACGCUGGCGGCGUGCUUAACACAUGCAAGUCGAACGGUGAAGGGACCAGCUUGCUGGUUCUGGAUGAGCGGCGAACGGGUGAGUAACACGUGCGUAACCUGCCCCCUUCUCCUGGAUAACCGCAUGAAAGAGUGGCUAAUACGGGAUAUUCUGGGUCUGUCGCAUGGCGGGCCCGGGAAAGAUAUUGCUUCGGUGGGGGAUGGGCUCGCGGCCUAUCAGCUUGUUGGUGGGGUGAUGGCCUACCAAGGCGGUGACGGGUAGCCGGGCUGAGAGGGUGGACGGUCACACUGGGACUGCGACACGGCCCAGACUGCUACGGGAGGCAGCAGUGGGGAAUAUUGCACAAUGGGCGCAAGCCUGAUGCAGCGGCGCCGCGUGAGGGAUGGAGGCCUUCGGGUUGUAAACCUCUUUCGCCAGUGAAGCAGGCCUGCUCCUUGUGGGUGGGUUGACGGUAGCGGGAUAAGAAGCGCCGGCUAACUACGUG